GCUCAGAUUGAACGCUGGCGGCAGGCCUAACACAUGCAAGUCGAGCGGUAGCACAGAGAGCUUGCUCUCGGGUGACAAGCUGGCGGACGGGUGAGUAAUGUCUGGGAAACUGCGUGAUGGAGGGGGAUAACUACUGGAAACGGUAGCUAAUACCGCAUAACGUCGCAAGACCAAAGUGGGGGACCUUCGGGCCUCAUGCCAUCAGAUGUGCCCAGAUGGGAUUAGCUAGUAGGUGGGGUAAUGGCUCACCUAGGCGACGAUCCCUAGCUGGUCUGAGAGGAUGACCAGCCACACUGGAACUGAGACACGGUCCAGACUCCUACGGGAGGCAGCAGUGGGGAAUAUUGCACAAUGGGCGCAAGCCUGAUGCAGCCAUGCCGCGUGUGUGAAGAAGGCCUUCGGGUUGUAAAGCACUUUCAGCGGGGAGGAAGGCGAUAAGGUUAAUAACCUUGUCGAUUGACGUUACCCGCAGAAGAAGCACCGGCUAACUCCGUGCCAGCAGCCGCGGUAAUACGGAGGGUGCAAGCGUUAAUCGGAAUUACUGGGCGUAAGGCGCACGCAGGCGGUCUGUCAAGUCGGAUGUGAAAUCCCCGGGCUCAACCUGGGAACUGCAUUCGAAACUGGCAGGCUAGAGUCUUGUAGAGGGGGGUAGAAUUCCAGGUGUAGCGGUGAAAUGCGUAGAGAUCUGGAGGAAUACCGGUGGCGAAGGCGGCCCCCUGGACAAAGACUGACGCUCAGGUGCGAAAGCGUGGGGAGCAAACAGGAUUAGAUACCCUGGUAGUCCACGCCGUAAACGAUGUCGAUUUGGAGGUUGUGCCCUUGAGGCGUGGCUUCCGGAGCUAACGCGUUAGAUCGACCGCCUGGGGAGUACGGCCGCAAGGUUAAAACUCAAAUGAAUUGACGGGGGCCCGCACAAGCGGUGGAGCAUGGGGUUUAAUUCGAUGCAACGCGAAGAACCUUACCUGGUCUUGACAUCCACAGAACUUAGCAAAGAUGCUUUGGUGCCUUCGGGAACUGUGAAACAGGGGCUGCAUGGCUGUCGUCAGCUCGUGUGUGAAAUGUAAGAUCUGGGAUCC
rnacentral:rRNA from 1 species